rnacentral:rRNA from 1 species
ACUCCUACGGGAGGCAGCAGUGGGGAAUAUUGCACAAUGGGGGAAACCCUGAUGCAGCCAUGCCGCGUGUGUGAAGAAGGCCUUGGGUUGUAAAGCACUUUCAGUAGGGAGGAAGGUAGUGUAGUUAACACCUGCAUUAUUUGUACGUUACCUACAGAAGAAGCACCGGCUAACUCCGUGCCAGCAGCCGCGGUAAGUACGGAGGGUGCGAGCGUUAAUCGGAAUUACGUGGGCGUAAAGCGCAUGCAGGCGGCCUGUUAAGUCAGAUGUGAAAGCCCGGGGUCUUAACCUCGGAAUUGCAUUUGAAACUGGCAGGCUAGAGUCUUGUAGAGGGGUUAGAA